rnacentral:lncRNA from 1 species
CCACACUGGAUAACCGACUAUCUUGACGCCCGCUGGAAAUGUAACUCAGCUGGAAAUGUAACGCAGCUGUAAAUAGAAUGAUGUACAUCUGUUACUAUUGUUCAGCGGUGUAUGAGGUGUACAGAGACAUUAUACACAUAAUACUGU